rnacentral:tRNA from 1 species
CUGUUGGUUCAAUGGCAGAAUGGGACGUUGCCAUCGUCUUGAUCGGGGUUCGAUUCCCCGACAGUGUAUUU